rnacentral:rRNA from 1 species
GACGAACGCUGGCGGCGUGCCUAAUACAUGCAAGUAGAACGCUGAAGAGAGGAGCUUGCUCUUCUUGGAUGAGUUGCGAACGGGUGAGUAACGCGUAGGUAACCUGCCUUGUAGCGGGGGAUAACUAUUGGAAACGAUAGCUAAUACCGCAUAACAAUGGAUGACACAUGUCUUUUAUUUGAAAGGGGCAAUUGCUCCACUACAAGAUGGACCUGCGUUGUAUUAGCUAGUAGGUGAGGUAAUGGCUCACCUAGGCGACGAUACAUAGCCGACCUGAGAGGGGGAUCGGCCACACCGGGACUGAGACACGGCCCAAAAUCCUACGGGAGGCAGCAGUAGGGAAUCUUCGGCAAUGGGGGCAACCCUGACCGAGCAACGCCGCGUGAGUGAAGAAGGUUUUCGGAUCGUAAAGCUCUGUUGUAAGUCAAGAACGGGUGUGAGAGUGGAAAGUUCACACUGUGACGGUAGCUUACCAGAAAGGGACGGCUAACUACGUG